rnacentral:rRNA from 1 species
AUUGAACGCUGGCGGCAGGCCUAACACAUGCAAGUCGAGCGGAGCGGCGGACGGGUGAGUAAUGCCUAGGAAUCUGCCUGGUAGUGGGGGCUAACGUCCGGAAACGGGCGCUACUACCGCAUACUAUCAGAUUAGCCUAGGUCGGAUUAGCUAGUUGGUGGGGUAAAGGCCUACCAAGGCGACGAUCCGUAACUGGUCUGAGAGGAUGAUCAGUAACAGUGGAAGUGAGACACGGUCCAGACUCCUACGGUAGGCAGCGGUGGGGAAUAGUGGACAAUGGGCGAAGGCCUAGUCCGGCAAUGCCGCGUGGGUGAAGAGGGGCUUCGGAUUGUAAAGCACUUGAAGUUGGGAGACGUUACCAACAGAAUAAGCACCGGCUAACUUCGUGCCAGCAGCCGCGGUAAUAC